AACAAGGCGUACCUGCGGACCUGCGGAAGGAUCAUUACCAGAGUGCCUUCAGGCUCUCCAACCCACUGUGAACAUACCUACGUUCCCCCGGCGGGCUCAGCGCGCGGCGGCUCCGGCCGCCCGCGUCCGCCGAGGGCAUCUCAAACCCGAAUUUAUUCGUGUCUUCUGAGGGGCGAAAGCCCGUAAAACAAAAUGAAUCAAAACUUUCAACAACGGAUCU
rnacentral:misc_RNA from 1 species